rnacentral:rRNA from 1 species
GACGAACGCUGGCGGCGUGCUUAACACAUGCAAGUCGAACGGAAAGGCCCUGCUUUUGUGGGGUGCUCGAGUGGCGAACGGGUGAGUAACACGUGAGUAACCUGCCCUUGACUUUGGGAUAACUUCAGGAAACUGGGGCUAAUACCGGAUAGGAGCUCCUGCUGCAUGGUGGGGGUUGGAAAGUUUCGGCGGUUGGGGAUGGACUCGCGGCUUAUCAGCUUGUUGGUGGGGUAGUGGCUUACCAAGGCUUUGACGGGUAGCCGGCCUGAGAGGGUGACCGGCCACAUUGGGACUGAGAUACGGCCCAGACUCCUACGGGAGGCAGCAGUGGGGAAUACUGCACAAUGGGCGGAAGCCUGAUGUAGCAACGCCGCGUGCGGGAUGACGGCCUUCGGGUUGUAAACUGCUUUCGCCUGUGACGAAGCGUGAGUGACGGUAAUGGGUAAAGAAGCACCGGCUAACUACGUGCCAGCGGCCGCGGUGAUACGUAGGGUGCGAGCGUUGUCCGGAUUUAUUGGGCGUAAAGGGCUCGUAGGUGGUUGAUCGCGUCGGAAGUGUAAUCUUGGGGCUUAACCCUGAGCGUGCUUUCGAUACGGGUUGACUUGAGGAAGGUAGGGGAGAAUGGAAUUCCUGGUGGAGCGGUGGAAUGCGCAGAUAUCAGGAGGAACACCAGUGGCGAAGGCGGUUCUCUGGGCCUUUCCUGACGCUGAGGAGCGAAAGCGUGGGGAGCGAACAGGCUUAGAUACCCUGGUAGUCCACGCUGUAAACGGUGGGUACUAGGUGUGGGGUCCAUUCCACGGGUUCCGUGCCGUAGCUAACGCUUUAAGUACCCCGCCUGGGGAGUACGGCCGCAAGGCUAAAACUCAAAGGAAUUGACGGGGCCCCGCACAAGCGGCGGAGCAUGCGGAUUAAUUCGAUGCAACGCGUAGAACCUUACCUGGGUUUGACAUGGAUCGGGAGUGCUCAGAGAUGGGUGUGCCUCUUUUGGGGUCGGUUCACAGGUGGUGCAUGGCUGUCGUCAGCUCGUGUCGUGAGAUGUUGGGUUAAGUCCCGCAACGAGCGCAACCCUUGUUCACUGUUGCCAGCACGUUAUGGUGGGGACUCAGUGGAGACCGCCGGGGUCAACUCGGAGGAAGGUGGGGAUGACGUCAAGUCAUCAUGCCCCUUAUGUCCAGGGCUUCACGCAUGCUACAAUGGCUGGUACAGAGAGUGGCGAGCCUGUGAGGGUGAGCGAAUCUCGGAAAGCCGGUCUCAGUUCGGAUUGGGGUCUGCAACUCGACCUCAUGAAGUCGGAGUCGCUAGUAAUCGCAGAUCAGCAACGCUGCGGUGAAUACGUUCCCGGG